rnacentral:rRNA from 1 species
AGUGAACGCUGGCGGCGUGCUUAACACGUGCAAGUCGAACGAGAACGGGUUAUAGCUUGCUAUAAUUGUCAGCUAAGUGGCGCACGGGUGAGUAAUGUAUAGGUAAUAUGCCUCUUACUAAGGGAUAACAAAUGGAAACGUUUGCUAAUACCUUAUACUCCUUAUUAACAGAAGUUAAUAAGCGAAAGAUUUAUUGGUAAGAGAUUAGCCUGUAUUGUAUCAGUUAGUUGGUGAGGUAAUGGCUUACCAAGACUAUGACACAUAACUGGUUUGAGAGGAUGAUCAGUCACACUGGAACUGAGACACGGUCCAGACUCCUACGGGAGGCAGCAGUGGGGAAUAUUGCACAAUGGACGAAAGUCUGAUGCAGCAACGCCGCGUGGAGGAUGACACAUUUCGGUGCGUAAACUCCUUUUAUAUGAGAAGAUAAUGACGGUAUUAUAUGAAUAAGCACCGGCUAACUCCGUGCCAGCAGCCGCCGCGG